UACUACAUUAGUUAUUUGGAACAUGUUUCGAGGAAGUAGAUCUAUCAUAGAGUUCAUUGCCCAUUAUCCUGAUACUGACCUCAAAACUGCAAAAAAUGGACAAUAUGUGAAAGUUUUUGGGGUGAUUACCUGUGGCAAUGUCCCUUUGAAGUUUUCAUUCCAAAGAAUUCCUAAAUAUGUCUAUACCUCUACAAGAUUAUAUGAGUAUCGCGCAUGAGGUUCAAAACCAGCCAACCUUAAUCAUUGCCAUUUUACAUGGGGACUAAGAUCAUCAGAGACGCAUGUUGUUGAUUUCUACAUCUUUGAUUUCCAAUCUGGUUUAAAAGCAUUGAUCAAAACUGGCAGUGGCAUGAGGGUUGCCCCUUUUGUUGAUGAUUCCUUUGUUAUUGAUAUUAAUCCUGGAAAUAAAGAGCUGUCUCUAGAGUUUGUCAGGUGGCUGGGAAAGAGAAAUCUUUCAAGUGAUGAGCGUCUAAUGAGAUUAAAAGAAAGGUAAGGGUCUCUUUUUUCAAUAAUUAGAUCACCAAAGUGUUUUAUCCCACUACAUACCCAUAGGUAGGAGAGCUUGAACCAGAAAGCUUUUUAGAUGUUUAUUAUAACAAAUUUUUAUAUGCCAU